rnacentral:ribozyme from 1 species
UGUCCAGCAAAUCCUAUCCCUACCUCCUCGUGGUACUGGCCGGCGUACGAGUAACCUUAGGGAAGAUCGGGUAACCAACCCCGGUAGAAACAUUGGUCGUAUGCUGACAGGGAAGA